AAUGCAGAAUACAAAUACAAUAUUGUCCAUUCCCGACAUCAGUAUCAACAUUUUCUUAGUAACAUCAUAGACAUUGGUACUGAAUUGAUACUUGCAUAGUAUGGCUUUUACCUCAUAUGCCAAUGUAUUUCAAAGUCAGUGCAUUUCCUUUAAUUGAAAACCGUUUUUACUUGAAGUAUAGCGCCGUUGACAGGUUCCACUUCCACUUUCACUCUUAUCACUCAUUAUAGCUUAGAGAUUUGAAGCAACAAACAACAUGAAGUUCACUGUGUUUCUGAGUGGACUCCUGCUGCUCUUUCUGCUUUUCGACUGGACAGAAGGUGAUGAAGAUGACACUGUGGACAUCAGUACUCUCACCCGUAUUAUUAACUUCUUCGAGCAGAACUACAAGAGAGUCAACGGGGUAUAUGAACGUCAGUACGCUGCAGCCAUCAAUGUGCCAAAGGAUCAGUGUCAACAGAACUUCAAUCAGAAAAAUGACUCAGGAGAAUGCGGUGACUGUGAGAAAUGCAAUUAAUGAUGACUCAAACGCACUUUACCAAGGUUCAGAGCUCAUCGCUGCAGGAACUAGGAAGGUUGUAUAUAAACAGAAGCAAUACAACAGGCAUUCAGAGUAUCUCCUGCUGAAUCCUGCUAACAACUCGCCCAUGACCAGACUUUUGAACAGAAGAAAUCACGGCUGUUCUGUUUUCUACACAUUUAAUUUGGAUGCGACAGGCAGACACAGCAUUAUAGAUGCUCUAAAUAACUAGAACAGACAUGGUGGAAUUAAAGCUUUUGUCUUCAAGAAAUUCUGGAAGUACGACGAAACAAACACUGAAAUAGAUCUUCAGGCUGAGUUUAAGCAGAUUGUGGCUCAUGUUCCUCUCUUCCGCUGUGUGAGUGAGAAUCAGUGUUAUGCUUGUAAAGGGGAAGGAAACACUCCCAUAGACGCACACUGUCUGCCUCCAAAAGAGAUCAGUAGUGAACUGUAACAUUACAGGUCUUGUGAUUCUGUAUUAAGAUCUAUUCUCUUUUGUUUUAAAAUUCAGUAUGCAUAGAUUAACUAGUGAAAUCCAUUUAAAAAUAAUCUUGCUGUGGCAACCAUUUUUGCAAAAAUGAUAUAAUGCUCUAUUGCAUUAGAAAUGAACGUACCUCCUGACCCAACUGAUAACGUUAAUGUCAUAUAAAAAUGUAUAUGCUGAAGAGUGCCAAUAGAUCAAGGAUUAACUUUUUUGUCAUAAUUGUUCUAAAACAUCAUUUCUGCAUGCUUUUCCUUCAGAGCUCCAGCAUAUGGGAGGUUACAUUGAAUAAUAUUGUACAUUUUAGUCUCAUGAUGGGCAAUUGCAGCCUAUCACUUCUAUCAUUAUGUCAUUUUCUGUAGCUGAUUCCUUUCUAUAAUACAAUCUUUAAAAGGUAGUUUGGUCAUAAGUAAAUCACAAAGAGAAAUUACUGUCAUAAUCCACUAUAAAUGAAACCUGUUGCAUGCGGUUUUGUUGCUUGAUGCACAAGUAUGUGUUAAGGAAGGGUUAUUUGUAGUGUUUCCCAAACACUUGUUUCCAAAAGCUCUGUUUCAGAAGAGAUGACAGAGCCGGUCAGAUAGACAGGACACAUUCGUAUCAGACUGUUCACUUCAAAAUCACCUUUACACACUUCUGAACUAAUGCAUAUUAUUUUAGGUUACAAAAUAAAUUCUGUUGCACAGACAUCAAGGCCAAUUCUGUUGCUUCACUGUUACAUAUUAUAUUGACAUAUUAUGUUACAUAUUAUAUUGUUACAUAUUAUAUUGACCAAUAUUAUAUAUUUUGUUGACUUCUGUACUUACAUUAUCCCAGAUGUUUCCAAGAAUGUUUAAAUCCAGAGAAAUAAGCAAUUUUAACCAGGACAUGGACCAUGUCCGUGCGUCGUCUAUCAAUAUGUGUUUUUUUAGACAGGUGAGCAACUGUUUGGAUACAUUCAUCGACAGAAAACUAAUCAUGUUAUGUAGCUCAACACUGUAAGUCUUAUUGUUUAA